rnacentral:rRNA from 1 species
UACGUAGGUGGCAAGCGUUAUCCGGAAUUAUUGGGCGUAAAGAGCGCGCAGGUGGUUAAUUAAGUCUGAUGUGAAAGCCCACGGCUUAACCGUGGAGGGUCAUUGGAAACUGGUUGACUUGAGUGCAGAAGAGGGAAGUGGAAUUCCAUGUGUAGCGGUGAAAUGCGUAGAUAUUAGGAGGAACACCAAUAGCGUAGGCAGGUUACUGGGACGGUUCUGACACUAAGGCACGAAAGCGUAGGGAGCAAACGGGG